rnacentral:ncRNA from 1 species
GUAGCAAAAUAUUCAAAUGGAGAACUUUGAAGGCCGAAGUGGAGAAGGGUUCCAUGUGAACAGCAGUUGAACAUGGGUCAGUCGACCCUAAGGGAUAGGCGAAGGCCGUUCUGAAGCGGGGUGAUGUUCGCGUCGCCCCGGCGGACCGAAAGGGAAUCGGGUUAAUAUUCCCGAACCUCGACGCGGAGAUUGGCGCUCCGGCGCCUAGUGCGGCAACGCAAACGAACUCGGAAACGCCGACGUGGGUCCCGGGAAGAGUUCUCUUUUCUUGGUAAGGGGCGGCGACCCUGGAAUCGGUUCGCCCGGAGAUAGGGACAUGGGCCCCGUAAAGCAGCACGUCUCUUGUGCUGUCCGGUGAGCUCGCGUCGGCCCUUGAAAAUCCGAGGGAGACGGUGUAAUUUUCGUGCGAGGUCGUACCCAUAUCCGCAGCAGGUCUCCAAGGUGAACAGCCUCUGGCCGAUAGAACAAUGUAGGUAAGGGAAGUCGGCAAACUAGAUCCGUAACUUCGGGAAAAGGAUUGGCUCUAGGGGCUGGGUCGGUCGGGCUGAGGUACGAAGCGGGGCGCGGCGCUGUACCGGACUGGGCGAACGACGGCCUCCCUCGCGGGGGGCUGGCGUGAGCCUGGACAUGUGUCGGCGUCUUCCCGUGGAAUGCCGCAGCUAACGCGGGCCUCGCGGCCCGCAACGGCCGGCGUCGAACAGCCGACUCCUACUAAUCGGACCGGGGGAAUCCGACUGUGAAUCCACCACA